AUGGGCACUCAGUAGAGGGGUUUUGAUUAUCUCUCUGCCGGAGCUAACGCAUUAAGUGCCCCGCCUGGGGAGUACGGCCGCAAGGCUAAAACUCAAAAGAAUUGACGGGGGCUCGCACAAGCGGUGGAGCAUGUGGCUUAAUUCGAUGCAACGCGAAGAACCUUACCGGGGUUUGACAUGGUAGAAGUAGGAGCCCGAAAGGGUAACGAACGGUAUCCAGUCCGUGACUAUCACAGGUGUUGCAUGGCUGUCGUCAGCUCGUGUCGUGAGACGUU
rnacentral:rRNA from 1 species